AUGUUGAAGCGACAGACUGAAUCCAUGACACCGAAGUGCAAUUGCGGCAGAUUAUCUCUAUUUUGUCUUUUCAUUUUUCUUAUUAUUGGAGUGACAACAGGUAGAAUGAGAAAAUGUGAUAGUAGAUACAACAACUGUAGUAAAGAGAAACUUUUGUUUGCAAUUGUUAGUGACAUACAUACUUGUAUGUUCUUUGAUGAUGGUUUUUGGCUCAUUUAUUGCCUUCGGUGUCCGGUUAACCAUGAAAUAGGAGCCAGAGCAGUGGUCAUUAUUGUGUUUUCCUGGAAUUGUAUACGUAAAACGGAAUUGGUUGAUUUUUAA
rnacentral:rRNA from 1 species